rnacentral:rRNA from 1 species
UCUGGUUGAUCCUGCCAGUAGUCAUAUGCUUGUCUCAAAGAUUAAGCCAUGCAUGUCUAAGUAUAAAUAGUAUACAGUGAAACUGCGAAUGGCUCAUUAAAACAGUUAUAGUUUAUUUGAUAAUUGACAAUUACAUGGAUAACCGUGGUAAUUCUAGAGCUAAUACAUGCUUAAACGCCCGACUUUAUGGAAGGGUGGUAUUUAUUAGACUGAAGCCAAUAUUCCUUGUGUCUAUUGCGGUGAUUCAUAAUAACUGAUCGAAUCUCUUUUUGAGAUAAAUCAUUCAAGUUUCUGCCCUAUCAGCUUUCGAUGGUAGUGUAUUGGACUACCAUGGCAGUAACGGGUAACGAAGAAUUAGGGUUCGAUUUCGGAGAGGGAGCAUGAGAAACGGCUACCACAUCUAAGGAAGGCAGCAGGCGCGUAAAUUACCCAAUCCUGACUCAGGGAGGUAGUGACAAGAAAUAGCAAACCGGGAACCUCAUGGUUUCACGGUAUUGCAAUGAGAACAAUUUAAAACCCUUAGCGAGAAUCAAGUGGAGGACAAGUCUGGUGCCAGCACCCGCGGUAAUUCCAGCUCCACUAGCGUAUAUUAAAGUUGUUGCAGUUAAAAAGCUCGUAGUUGAACCUCUGUCUGGGGCUAGUUUUGGCUUUGGUCAGGCUAGUUCUAGGCAUCCGCCUACAAGACUUAGAGGGCAUUCAGUUGUUCACUAGGAGGAGUAGGCAUUUUACUUUGAAAAAAUUAGAGUGUUUAAGGCAGGCAAUCGCCCGCAUAUAUUAGCAUGGAAUAAUAGAAUAGGACACUUUUCCAUUUCGUUGGUUAUUGGAAUCGUGUAAUGAUUAAUAGGGACAGUUGUGGGCAUUUGUAUUUAAUUGUCAGAGGUGAAAUUCUUGGAUUUAUUAAAGACAAACUAACGCGAAAGCAUUUGCCAAGGAUGUUUUCAUUAAUCAAGAACGAAAGUUAGGGGAUCAAAGACGAUCAGAUACCGUCCUAGUCUUAACUAUAAACUAUUCCGACUCAAUGUUUGACUGGCUUAUAUAACCAGUUGAGCGUUGUAUGAGAAAUCAAAGUCUUUAGGUUCUGGGGGGAGUAUGGUUGCAAAGCUGAAACUUAAAGGAAUUGACGGAAGAGCACAACCAGGAGUGGAUUCUGCGGCUUAAUUUGACUCAACACGGGGAAACUUACCAGGUUAAAACAAUAGUGGGAUUGACAGUUUGAGAGCGCUUUCUUGAUUGGUUGGGUGGUGGUGCAUGGCCGUUCUUAGUUGGUGGAGUGAUUUGUCUGCUUAAUUGCGUUAACGAACGAGACCUUAACCUGCUUACUAGACUGGCGAUCAUCAAUCGUUAGCUCUUCUUAGAGGGAC